rnacentral:rRNA from 1 species
UACGAAGGGGGCUAGCGUUGCUCGGAAUUACUGGGCGUAAAGCGCACGUAGGCGGCUUUCUAAGUCGGGGGUGAAAUCCUGGAGCUCAACUCCAGAACUGCCUUCGAUACUGGAGAGCUCGAGUCCGGGAGAGGUGAGUGGAACUGCGAGUGUAGAGGUGAAAUUCGUAGAUAUUGGGAAGAACACCGGUGGCGAAGGCGGCUCACUGGCUCGUAACUGACGCUCAUGCACGACAGCGUGGGGAUCAAACAGG